rnacentral:rRNA from 1 species
GAUGAACGCUGGCGGCGUGCCUAACACAUGCAAGUCGAGCGGACCAAAUCAGCAGAAGCCUUCGGGUGGAAGCAGAGGAGGUUAGCGGCGGACGGGUGAGUAACGCGUGGGCAACCUGCCCUGUGCAGGGGGAUAACACAUCGAAAGGUGUGCUAAUACCCCAUAAGACUAACACUUCGCAUGGAGAGAUAGUCAAAGGGAUACCGGCACAGGAUGGGCCCGCGUCUGAUUAGCUAGUUGGUAGGGUAACGGCCUACCAAGGCGACGAUCAGUAGCCGACCUGAGAGGGUGAACGGCCACACUGGAACUGAGACACGGUCCAGACUCCUACGGGAGGCAGCAGUGGGGAAUAUUGCACAAUGGGGGAAACCCUGAUGCAGCAACGCCGCGUGAGCGAAGAAGGCCUUCGGGUCGUAAAGCUCUGUCCUAAGGGAAGAAAAAUGACGGUACCUUAGGAGGAAGCCCCGGCUAACUACGUGC